AGUGAACGCUGGCGGUAGGCCUAACACAUGCAAGUCGAACGGCAGCACAGUAAGAGCCUGCUCUUACGGGUGGCGAGUGGCGGACGGGUGAGGAAUACAUCGGAAUCUACUUUUUCGUGGGGGAUAACGUAGGGAAACUUACGCUAAUACCGCAUACGACCUACGGGUGAAAGCAGGGGAUCUUCGGACCUUGCGCGAUUGAAUGAGCCGAUGUCGGAUUAGCUAGUUGGCGGGGUAAAGGCCCACCAAGGCGACGAUCCGUAGCUGGUCUGAGAGGAUGAUCAGCCACACUGGAACUGAGACACGGUCCAGACUCCUACGGGAGGCAGCAGUGGGGAAUAUUGGACAAUGGGCGCAAGCCUGAUCCAGCCAUACUGCGUGGGUGAAGAAGGCCUUCGGGUUGUAAAGCCCUUUUGUUGGGAAAGAAAAGCAGCAGGUUAAUACCCCGCUGUUCUGACGGUACCCAAAGAAUAAGCACCGGCUAACUUCGUG
rnacentral:rRNA from 1 species